rnacentral:rRNA from 1 species
AACGAACGCUGGCGGCAGGCUUAACACAUGCAAGUCGAGCGCCCCGCAAGGGGAGCGGCAGACGGGUGAGUAACGCGUAGGAAUCUACCCAUCUCUACGGAAUAACGCAUGGAAACGUGUGCUAAUACCGUAUACGUCCUUCGGGAGAAAGAUUUAUCGGAGAUGGAUGAGCCCGCGUUGGAUUAGCUAGUUGGUGGGGUAAAGGCCUACCAAGGCGACGAUCCAUAGCUGGUCUGAGAGGAUGAUCAGCCACACUGGGACUGAGACACGGCCCAGACUCCUACGGGAGGCAGCAGUGGGGAAUAUUGGACAAUGGGCGCAAGCCUGAUCCAGCCAUGCCGCGUGAGCGAUGAAGGCCCUAGGGUUGUAAAGCUCUUUCGCCGGUGAAGAUAAUGACGGUAACCGGAGAAGAAGCCCCGGCUAACUUCGUGCCAGCAGCCGCCGCGGUAA